rnacentral:rRNA from 1 species
UUGCGUAGGCGGUUAUGUAAGCGAAUAGUGAAACCUGGUGGCUCAACCACACAGACUAUUAUUCGAACUGCAUAACUCGAGAAUGGUAGAGGUAACUGGAAUUUCCUGUGUAGGAGUGAAAUCCGUAGAUAUAAGAAGGAACACCAAUGGCGUAGGCAGGUUACUGGGCCAUUUCUGACGCUAAGGCACGAAAGCGUGGGGAGCGAACCG